AUUGAACGCUGGCGGCAGGCCUAACACAUGCAAGUCGAGCGGCUGAAGGGAGCUUGCUCCUGGAUUCAGCGGCGGACGGGGGAGUAAUGCCUAGGAAUCUGCCUGGUAGUGGGGGAUAUAGUCCGGAAACGGGCGCUAAUAUCGCAUACGUCCUGAGGGAGAAAGUGGGGGAUCUUCGGACCUCACGCUAUCAGAUGAGCCUAGGUCGGAUUAGCUAGUUGGUGGGGUAAAGGCCUACCAAGGCGACGAUCCGUAACUGGUCUGAGAGGAUGAUCAGUCACACUGGAACUGAGACACGGUCCAGACUCCUACGGGAGGCAGCAGUGGGGAAUAUUGGACAAUGGGCGAAAGCCUGAUCCAGCAAUGCCGCGUGUGUGAAGAAGGUCUUCGGAUUGUAAAGCACUUUAAGUUGGGAGGAAGGGCAGUAAGUUAAUACCGUGCUGUUUUGACGUUACCAACAGAAUAAGCACCGGCUAACUUCGUG
rnacentral:rRNA from 1 species